CCACAGCUCAAGGCAACCACAGCCCACUGCAACCUCAAACUUGUGGGCUCAAACCAUCCUCCCGCCUCAGCCUCCUGAGCCUCCAUUAACCACGACUGGCUAAAUGGUAACUUCUAUAAAGAUGGAGGUUGCUUCUGGCUCAUCAGCCAUCGUUGAUGUGCCACAGACCUGAGGGCACGUGACCCAGGAAUGUGCAUCCAAAGAUAAUACUACCUUCAGAGAACUCUACUUAUAGUGGUGAAAUUGAAUCACUGAAGCAGCUGAGGCAGAGAGCUUUUCCUUCAGGAUUCACGGCCUAUUUCUCAGUUCUGGGAAGACAACUCUAACAACUCAACAGAGUGAAGAGAGAUAAAGAUGUUGGGAAUGACUGAUUUCAAACAAUCAAAACUGCUUUGGGGAUGAGGAUGAAGUUGGGACAUUACUGCCUUGUAUACCACAUACUAUAAUAUUUAUUAUGUCUAUUGUUUAUUGUGUGUGUCCUUCUUUAGAAUUUUAACUCCCCAAGGGCAAAGAUCCCUGACUGUUUUGCUUAUCAAUGUAUCCAAAAGGCCUAAAACAGAGCCUUGUACCCUAUACACACUCUGCAAAUAUUUGCUGAAUUGAAUAAAAGGCUGCCGAUCUAUAAACUAUGCUGCUUUCAAAUAAAACUAAGACAAGGACAUUGAUAGCAUAUCCUCAUCCCCUGUCUGGCCCCUUGGAUUUGAUUUGAGCCUCUGUGAUUAGAAUGAUGAAGUCUGUUGGGGCUGUUUUCAGGAGAGGUUGUGAGACUCUAGGCACCAGAAGAGCUGCCCUGGGACACAGAGAGGAAAAAGUAAUAAAUAAUGGAGAAGAAAAAAAAAAAAACCAUGGGAAACAAACAAACUCAAACUAGAAAUGAAAUAAGCUAUGGCUUCUGUAAUCCUCCUGCACAUAACAACUAUGGGUUUUGGACAAAAUACAAAAAGCAGCUAUCCAGAGGCACUGAAGAGAAGCCAAGCAGGCAGACAAUGGAGGGGAAUCUGCAUAUGGAAGAAGGAGAUGACAGUGGGAAAGUUCCCAUUAUUACAGCUCUUUGCUGGAAAGCCGGUCCCAAUCCAUGCCAAAUAAAGGUUACUAAAACAUGAAUAGAAAAUCUGUAGUCUUACUGGCAUGAAGAGCCAGGAGACAGGGUUCAUGGUGAUUAUAGCAACCAGAAAGUGAGAAGGGGGAAAUCUUGGAAAAAUGAGAGCCAAAGAGGGGGAAGUAACAUGUUCUAUGUAUAAACUCUGCACAAGUCAUUGGCUGACUCAUGAACCAUGUGUGCAAAUAGCCCAGCUAAGGCUAGAAGAACCAAACAGAGAUUUCUGUUGCUGUGCACUGGAGACAGUUUACAGUUUGAAGUAGUUAAAUUAGCUGCCUGCUUAAAACAAAUCAUCACUCUUCAGAGGAAUAUAACAGAACCCAGAGGCUCUGCAACAUAUCAUUCACAGUUUUCUGGAUAAUAUCUAAAAUACUAGGCAUAUGAAGAAAAAAAGAAAAUGUAAGCCAAAAACAAUCAAUGCAGACUGACACUCAGAUAAAUAAUUAGCAGACAAAAAUUUUAAAUCAGCUAUUUUAACUAUGCUCAUGAAUGUAAAGGAAAAUAGGUUUGUAAAGAAUUAACAAAUACAAAAUCUCAGAGAACUAGAAACUAUUAAAAUGAUCAAAUAAAAAUUCUAAGACCAAAAACUGUAAUAAAAUAUUUGAAAUAAAUGUUGCCAUAUGGGCCUGACAGUAAAUGGAAAUGACUGAAGAAAAACCGAGAGAAUUUGAAGACAGAUCAAUAUAACUAAUUCUAUCUAAAGAAUAUAGAGGAAAAAUACUGGGAAAAAUGAGCAGAGCUUCAGGGACUUGUGGGACAAUACUGAAAGAUCUAGCAUACAUAUAACUAAGUUUCAGAAAGAAAAGAGACAGAGAAUGGAAUAGAAAAAAUAUUGAGGAAGAUGUAAUAUACAUGAUAAAUGUAUAUUAGCAGAAGUGAGUCUACUUUAAAAUGUAAUUUUAGAUUUCAGAUAUAUAUGUGGUAGAAAUAAAAAAUUCAAAGAUAAUUGAUAUAGAAGAUAAUAACAAGGAUAUCCAAAUUGUGUGAAAAAUGUUCUGGAGAUCGAACAAAUAGCAAAAGUACAAAAAGAUCAAAUCACACCAGAGUAACACUCUUCAGAACUGAAAAAAAGUAAUAUCAUAAACCAAGAAAUAUCCUUAGACACUUAUAACUGAG
rnacentral:lncRNA from 1 species